GAAAACUGCUUAUCGGCGGACUGGGCUGUAUUCGUCUUUCGCUGGAGGAACUGCUCGGUGGUCAGCCCUGCGUGUCCGACUAUUUGAUGGGUUUUCACUGACUCCUUUACAUCAAUGUGGAAAUGUUUCACAUUGUCAUAUUAGCUUCCACAAAUGAAGUGGAAGUUGUUCCAGCAAAUUGGUUUAAAAAAAACACCUGUCUGUAGCCACCAUACAAAUGGGAUGAUGUUGUAAAAGCAGUAAGAUCACAGGAACAACCUGGAACACGUUGGAUUCCGUACAAAGUACGCGUUUUAUUAGGCAAAGGAAGAGGUGUCACAUUCAAGAUGAUGCGGAUAGUGAAGAUGAGACGUCGGGAGCAUCUACUUUACCUAGACCUCCAGAAAUGGCCACUGCAAAGAAGCUGUCACCCUCAAUCCUACAAUGGCGGACGGAUGGACAGACAAACGGACAAAGAAACCCCAACGAUUACUUUACCUCUGCUGGCGGAGCGGACAAAGUUUUACAUCAGAAGAUGACAAGAAUGCAGUAAGAAGAAAUCCAUUGACAGCUACAGACCAGGAUAUUGAGCAGUGGAUUCGAAGGUGGCUCCAUCUUGCUGGGGACAGAGAAGGAGGACGCCGAGCCAGGCAGCGGCCUGAGUAAACUGACUGUUCUGCCCAAAGAAUUUCUGAUGUUACUUGUUGUAGUAGUAGUUAUUGUUUUAAAUGUUUAAGCAGGUUGGCUUUACAGCCCCCCCCCCCCCCCCCCCCCCAACACACACACACACACACACACACACACACAGAGUUUAUGCAUCCAGAUGGCAAACUAUCUUCAGUUGUCAUACAUUUUAUCUGUGUUGUCUUGCAGACAAAGCAACUGCAACAUGCAGUUUUCAGAGUUUUAUUCAUUGGUAGGAAAAUGACAAUUUGAUAUUGCUAAUUGCUAGUUUGAGCACUUGGUUGAAUGUAUUUGUGGAAAAUGUUGGCAAAAAAAAUCAAGGCAAAAGCAGGUAGUCAUUAUUGUAUUGUAUAGCCCUGAUCUGGCACAUGUUGCCCAAUUAAGGUGACGCUGUGGUUAUUUUAUCGGGCCCAGAUUUGGCCCAGACCUGGCCCACAACUUGUUUGGCAUCCGGUCCAUGUACGGUUUACCUGUGGCUGAGUUCGGCAGCCACACUCACCCCUGAGUGAACGCCACGACCAUGGCCGAAUGUGGGCCGUAAGAAGACUACGGAUGUGGGCCACAUCUGGGCCAAAACAUCGCUGCUAUCUGGGAAGGAACUACAUUUCCUAAGAUUUUAAAGUGAAUCUAAAACUGCAAAUGUAGACAUGAGAAAGCGGGGGUUAAUUGGAAAGCAUGGGGGCAAAUAAGUUUGGUGAUAGAGAUCAGGAACGGAGUGGUUAACCAGAGACAUCCUGUGGACGGAAGCAGGGCCGGUUCUACGCAGGGGCAAGAGGGGGCCUGGCCCCCUCAAAUAAAUGUUGUGCCCCCUCAAACUAAAUCCCCCAAAAUAUAGUCCCAGUUCUGACCCCAGACCUGAAGGAACCACCGAUCAGCUGAUCAAGAUUCACAUUCUCCACUAUGAAGACACACAUCUGUUUUAUUGAAAAUAAAAAGAAUAAAAUAAAAGAAAUCCAUCGGCUGGUCGGUCAGUAAAUAGCUGCUGGAAGAGUCUAGAAUCCAGUCACCCCUGACUGGAACUCCGGCCUCACGUCGGUUUCAGACCCCGUUUACACCGAAAACAUUUUCAAGUGAAAACGCAAAACUCCCCACAACGGUGCAACCAUAGACAGUAAAUAAAUGGACAGACCUUUCGUGACGUCACCCAUAUAGUUCUCAACCGCCGUUCUGAAGACCACAAGCGAGUCCAGCAGGACGUC